UUUGCCACAUAGCAGUGGUCGCAGCAGUAAUUCUGCAGCCACAAUGUCCAGAGGCAUUAGGUGUAGCAUUCAGAUAGUGUCGUCCUCAGUGCGGCUGUGAUACACAAACAAGCCAUCGUUUGGAUAUGAUUGAAUAUAAAAACGUAGGUGGACUUUGGAAGCGCCGUCCACCAGACCACAACACCAUAUAGCAUUAUAGGGGUGACAACUGCAGUAAAGGUCAAGAGUUGCUUCUUUCCAAGAUGUUUGAUGUGAAGUUCAAUUUCCAGUCCAGCAAAACCCCCAGGUGUUUGGGCUUUCAGUUAAUGGAACAUUCUCUCCUGCCAAGGAGAUAGGUGCCACAGUGGCCGCUGAUAUGGGAAAAAAUAAUUUGAAUUUUUUUGUGAUUAUUAAAAAUUGUAUAUAGUUGAUAUAAAAAAUGAUUGUUAAAGAAGCUUUAGUAGUAAAAGAAGAAGUAGUGAAUGAAAAGAAUGUUAAUUAAAAAAAGGUAAAAUUAUU